rnacentral:rRNA from 1 species
UGGGGAAUUUUGGACAAUGGGCGCAAGCCUGAUCCAGCCAUGCCGCGUGCGGGAAGAAGGCCUUCGGGUUGUAAACCGCUUUUGUCAGGGAAGAAACGCUCUGGGCUAAUACCCUGGGGUAAUGACGGUACCUGAAGAAUAAGCACCGGCUAACUACGUGCCAGCAGCCGCGGUAAUACGUAGGGUGCAAGCGUUAAUCGGAAUUACUGGGCGUAAAGCGUGCGCAGGCGGUUAUGCAAGUCAGGCGUGAAAUCCCCGGGCUUAACCUGGGAAUGGCGCUUGAAACUACGUGACUAGAGUAUGGCAGAGGGAGGUGGAAUUCCACGUGUAGCGGUGAAAUGCGUAGAGAUGUGGAGGAACACCGAUGGCGAAGGCAGCCUCCUGGGCCAAUACUGACGCUCAUGCACGAAAGCGUGGGGAGCAAACAGGAUUAGAUACCCUCGUAGUCCCUGAGCGGGCUGGCAAGGCGCAU